AAGCCAUCCAACGGUAAUGGGAUGGGACGGGAGCAGUUUCGCUCAGUUGCUCUGCCGCCUGCCGCUCGGCACCUUAUCUCCUCCGUCUCGCGCCACUCCACGGCACCAUGCACUCGCCGGCGCGCUGCCCCGCCGCCACCGCCACCGCGUCCCCGCCUCUGCGCGCGCCGUUCGUCGCCAUGGCCCAGCGCGGCCGCAGGCUGCCCUCGUCCGCGCCCCCCGAGGCCGAGCAGCCGGACGAGGCGCUCGCACGCAUCCUCCGCACGGAGGCCGCCGUCUCCGGCGUCCCCCGCAAGGCCGCGGCGGGCUCCAGCCAGCACUCCACCCGCCUCUGGCCCCGCGCCGUCCUCGAGGCCCUCGACUCCGCCGUCGCCUCCUCCCGCUGGGAGUCCGCCCUCGAGAUCUUCGAGCUGCUGCGGAAGCAGCGGUGGUACGAGCCGAGGACGCAGACCUACGCCAGGCUGCUGAUGAUGCUCGGCAGGUGCCGGCAGCCCGGCCCAGCCACCGCCCUCUUCAAGGUAAUGCUCUCGGAGGAGCGGCUCGCGCCGACGGUGGACGUGUACACGGCUCUUGUCGGCGCCUACGGCUACAGUGGCCUGCUGGACGAGGCAUUGGCCACGGUCGAUCUGAUGAAAGGCGCUGACGCAGACUGCAAGCCGGACGAGUACACCUUCUCCGUCCUCAUCAACUGCUGCUGUAAGUCGCGCCGCUUCGACCUGAUCCCCACCGUCCUCGACGAGAUGUCAUAUCUGGGGGUUGGAUGCAACGUUGUCAUCCACAAUGGGAUAAUUGAUGGGUACGGCAAGGCCGGCAUGCUAGAGGAGAUGGAGGAUGCGCUGUCCAACAUGCUUCAAGACGGGGACAAUGUGCCGGACAUAUACACGAUGAACUCCAUCAUAUGGGCCUACGGCAACCGUGGCAGGGUGGAUGACAUGGAGAGGUGGUACGGUGAGUUUCAGUUGAUGGGCGUUGAGCCAGAUACGUGGACAUUCAAUAUCAUGAUGAAGUCUUACGGCAAGGCUAACAUGCCUGACAAAAUGCUGUCCAUCCUGAAAUACAUGAAGCGGCGUUUCUUCUCACCCUCUGCUGCUACGUUCAACAUAAUCAUAGAUUGUUUUGGAAGGGCUGGCAACAUUGAGAAGAUGGAGUACUAUUUCAGGCUGAUGAAAAUUCAGGGUGUCAAACCCAACCCCAUCACAUACUGCUCGCUGGUUAAUGGAUACAGUAAAGCUGGGCUCCUUGAUAUGAUUCCUGCAAUUAUUCGACAGACGGAGAACACCGAUGUCGUAUUAGAUACUCCAUUUUUCAACUGCGUUAUCAGUGCAUACUUCAAGUCUGGAGAUACCAAAAUAAUGGAGGAAAUGCUAGUGCUAAUGAAUGAAAAGAAAUGUAAGCCAGACAAGGUAAUUUAUACCACCAUGAUUCAGGCAUAUAUUGCGCAUGGGAUGGAUGAAGCCGCUAAGUUGUUAGAAACAGAAAUGGAAAGAUUUGACAAGAAAUUACUGGGACCAGUUCCUGAGGUUGAUUACAAGUAAACUGCGGCCAUCAUUUUUUAGGGGACAGAGCAGUAAGAUUUGUGUAAUACGAGAUUGGGGAAAGAGAGCAUGUAUGAGGGGGCCUUCAGAGAAUAUGGUUAUAAAUCCACAGAGCUUGGCCAUAAUGACCAUUAGUUCCAUCAACACCAGACUAAGCGUUCCCAGUUCGAUGCCAAUGACAGGCAAUAAUGAACAAUGUGGAAUGGAAAACCAGCUGUGGCCUGUUGUGUCCGAAACAGGAGUCCGACACGGCCUCAUUGUGCAAAGCCAUUUAGACGUUCAUCUGAUCUGACUGAAUGCACAAGUACAAACCCAGACAGAGCUUAACUUGGGAUAUCUAGAAGUGGAAGGGACUGUGGUACAGCAGAUAAGGUCGGGUUCAGAGCUCCAGCCCAUUAUAUAUCCAUAUCAGUGUGUAAAUCUAGUCCCCUUUGGUUCUGCAUGAAAAUUCACUACCAAAAUAAGGGAUAUAGAGAACAAAUCGAAAAGAAAGAAACAACCAUUUGAAUUUCCCUAGAAUUUUUAGCACCACUUUCAGAGCACAAAGUACACAUUCUCGAAGAAGUUCAGCUUUACACAUGAUGCUAAUCGAUACAGUACAGCUUGACCUCCAAACUUCAAACAAAAACCCAGAGCCAGACUGCUCAUCAUACUGCUGGCAGUGGCGCGACCUUCUCUAAAAUGUCCAUCAUAAUCCAUGGGCAGCUUGCUGUGAGGUGCUUAAAUCCAUCAGUCUCCUUGACAGCUCGAAGCACCUCCUGUGAGGAAAGGUAUCCGAGACAAGCAUUCUUCCGUUGCGCCGCAUGGUGCUGCUCCGCUAAAGCAUUCUUCAGUUGCGGCUAACACGCAUCGAUUUUGCACUGAACUGUUGGCCGGCAACACUGAACGUCACAUCCAUGCCUUCUCCAUCCUUCAGCAUGUUCAUAAAGUGUGUGUGCAGGUCUGACUGUGGGACUGAGACUAUGUCUGUGCUUAAAUUUUCAGUGCGAGGCUAUUUCAUCACGGUCAAAACGCACCUGAUCGUGAUGCGGUCGUCAUUGAGGGGUAGCAGUUCCUUCAGCUUGGACUUGUGAAUGAACUUGUCCCAGCCACAGACCCACAGUAUUUACCUACCGACUGGAAGAAACCCAAGCUGACGGCCAUGUAGGCAGCUUUGCCCUCCUCCUUCCACCCGUCAGGGUAGAUCCUCAUGUUCCAGUCGUAGCCGCUGACGCUGAAUGUGCUCGAGCUGACGAACUUGCCGAUGCCCAUACCCUCGAGCAGCGACUACUUAAUCACCUCGAAGUUGUGGGCGGUGGUGACGCACUCUGUCAGGCAUCUCGACGAGGUCUCGGAUGUGGGCUUGUUAACUGAGGAAGAUGAGCUGUUGGCCAUGGCGUGGAAUGGGAGUGUGGCUUUUGUAAUACUUUAGGAAGAAGACGAGUUGUUGGCCAUGGCGUGGGGUGCAUAUAUAAACUCAGUACGUACUGUACAUGACUCUGGAAGACGUUUAGUCUUCAGUAAACUUGAGAAUGCCUUUACGGCAUUGAACAAGUUCCCAUGCGAUUGUGUUAAACGACGGUGCAUGCAUCGUUUCAAAUUCCCAUGCUGCUGCCGCCUUGUGUUUAUGGGCGUGAGACGGUGUUUCAGCAAUUCAAAAUUCAAUCCAAAAUUUGUUUGUCGCCUGACCGUCAAAAUCAUCCAUCUCAGAUGCGUGAACACACGCGGAGCACUACGCACAAGGAACGCAGAAAAUCAUCGUACGUCAAGGAUCUUGAUUUGGAGCAGCAAAUCAAGUUCACUGCAAACUUAGCAAAGCUACUCCCGGCGGAAUAGAGCCCCCCUAUGUUUUUUCUUUUCUUUUAGUAUAAAGUUGGGUCAUCUAUUUUGAAACGGAGGGAGUACGUAGGAUCCCGCAAAAAACAUUAGCGGGCGAGCGAUUUUAUAGGAUCUGUUUGGUGCGGAAAAUCGGCCCCCGUCCGCUAUAUUGACGGUUAUUAUAGCGUACGGCCC
rnacentral:rRNA from 1 species